ACGGGAGGCAGCAGUGGGGAAUAUUGCACAAUGGGCGCAAGCCUGAUGCAGCGAUGCCGCGUGAGGGAAGAAGGUUUUCGGAUUGUAAACCUCUGUCAUCGGGGACGAUAAUGACUGUACCCGAGAAGGAAGCUCUGGCUAACUACGUGCCAGCAGCCGCGGUAAUACGUAGGGAGCGAGCGUUAUCCGGAAUUACUGGGUGUAAAGGGAGUGUAGGCGGGACUGUAAGUCAGAUGUGAAAUAUGCCGGCUCAACUGGCAGACUGCAUUUGAAACUGCGGUUCUUGAGUGAAGUAGAGGCAAGCGGAAUUCCUAGUGUAGCGGUGAAAUGCGUAGAUAUUAGGAGGAACACCAGUGGCGAAGGCGGCUUUCUGGACAGUAACUGACACUGAGGUACGAAAGUGUGGGGAGCAAACAGGAUUAGAUACCCUGGUA
rnacentral:rRNA from 1 species